UGGAAACUNUCUGACUUGAGUGCAGAAGGGGAGAGUGGAAUUCCAUGUGUAGCGGUGAAAUGUGUAGAUAUANGGAGGAACACCAGUGGCGAAAGCGGCUCUCUGGUCUGUCACUGACGCUGAGGCUNGAAAGCGUGGGUAGCGAACAGGAUUAGGUACCCUGGUAGUNCACGCCGUAAACGAUGAGUGCUAGGUGUUAGGCCCUUUCCGGGGCUUAGUGCCGGAGCUAACGCAAUAAGCACUCCGCCUGGGGAGUACGACCGCAAGGUUGAAACUCAAAGGAAUUGACGGGGGCCCGCACAAGCGGUGGAGCAUGUGGUUUAAUUCGAAGCAACGCGAAGAACCUUACCAGGUCUUGACAUCCCGAUGCUAUUCUUAGAGAUAGGAAGUUACUUCGGUACAUCGGAGACAGGUGGUGCAUGGUUGUCGUCAGCUCGUGUCGUGAGAUGUUGGGCUNNNNNNNNNNAACGAGCGCAACCCUUAUUGUUAGUUGCCAUCAUUAAGUUGGGCACUCUAGCGAGACUGCCGGUAAUAAACCGGAGGAAGGUGGGGAUGACGUCAAAUCAUCAUGCCCCUUAUGACCUGGGCUACACACGUGCUACAAUGGUCGGUACAACGAGUUGCGAGCCGGUGACGGCAAGCUAAUCUCUGAAAGCCGAUCUCAGUUCGGAUUGGAGGCUGCAACUCGCCUCCAUGAAGUCGGAAUCGCUAGUAAUCGCGGAUCAGCACGCCGCGGUGAAUACGUUCCCGGGCCUU
rnacentral:rRNA from 1 species